GACGAACCGUGCGAACGUUAUUCGGAUUCAUUGGGCUUAAAGAGCACGUAGGCGGCGACAUAAGUCGGGAGGUGAAAUACUGUCGGCUCAACCGCGGAAUUGCCUUUGAUACUGUGUUGCUUGAGGAAUUUAGGGGCGAGUGGAACUUCCGGUGGAGCGGUGAAAUGUGUUGAGAUCGGAAGGAACGCCAGUGGCGAAAGCGACUCGCUGGGAAUUAUCUGACGCUGAGGUGCGAAAGCCAGGGGAGCAAACGGG
rnacentral:rRNA from 1 species